UUCAGUCUUUCCUGUGAGGAGGUUUCUUCUGGUUUAGAAUAAAUGAGGGACAUGGGAUUAACCUUAUCCCUUGGUUAUGGCUAUGUCUGGUUCAGUGUGUAGUGUCUGGUUGAUGACAUGUAUUCAAAUUUGUCUGCAUAUUAUGUUUUUCUAUGUCAUUUUUAGAAGGACAGAGAAGGUGUGGUCUGUGUUUCUGCUAUAAAAACUUGUUUUUCCUGCUUUGGAGGCAAAGUUAAACGAGUAGGAAUCCUGUAGAGCUUUUUUUCAUGGUGAGGUUCUGAAAGACUACAGAGUAUUAUUUCUCCCACACACACAUGAAAAGCCCCCAAAAUCUGUCCUAUGAGUAAAGGAGAGAUGAGUUUUCUUCAGCCUCUCUUGUUCCAGGAGGUCUUAGCCAUUCAGAUUCCAGAAGUGAAACAACCUUGUUUGAUAUGUGUUGCCAUCAGAAAAACCUGCCAAGAGUACCCAGCUGACCACGCUGAUCCUGCUUUAUGGAGCAAAACUUCAUAGUCAAGAAGUCCUUGAGCAGUGAUGGCACAGUGUCCUGUCUGCACCUGCUCUUUCUGAGGUUGCACUGGCAUCCACAUGCCAGGGGAGGAUGAGAUUUUCCUGGACUUCCUUAGGAAUGGAGAAAAGGAGAAGGAAAACCUGGAGUAGACGUCGGGAAUACCCGAGGGAGGCAAUCGUUC